rnacentral:rRNA from 1 species
UACAGAGGGUGCAAGCGUUAAUCGGAAUUACUGGGCGUAAAGCGUGCGUAGACGGUUAUGUAAGACAGUUGUGAAAUCCCCGGGCUCAACCUGGGAAUUGCAUCUGUGACUGCAUAGCUAGAGUACGGUAGAGGGGGAUGGAAUUCCGCGUGUAGCAGUGAAAUGCGUAGAUAUGCGGAGGAACACCGAUGGCGAAGGCAAUCCCCUGGACCUGUACUGACGCUCAUGCACGAAAGCGUGGGGAGCAAACAGG